AGACAUGUAAAGAACAGUAUUGUCCCAAGUAUUCGAAGUGUUGUGUUCAGCCCAAAAUUGUCCAGCAACAUUAUGACUAGGUAUGUCAAGGCAACCUGCGCCAAUCCUGCUCCACCAGUCAAAAUGCCUAAAAGGGACUUCGACUUUUUCCAUAUACCUAAGUGGCGUCAGAAGCAGACAUGUUAAUAUUGGAGGUAUCCCUGACAGCAGGAAGAACGCUCUGUAGUCUUGAGUCUUGUCAACUAUAAAACCUGAAAAAAGCCAGAAGGAACCAAAUAACAUCAAGGGACUUCGACUUUUUCCAUAUACCUAAGUGGCGUCAGAAGCAGACAUGUUAAUAUUGGAGGUAUCCCUGACAGCAGAAAGAACGCUCUGUAGUCUUGAGUCUUGUCAACUAUAAAGCCUGAAAGAAGCCAGAAGGAACCAAAUAACAUCAAGGCUCAUCUUUAUCUACUUCAUAUGAAGUUGGGCAAAAUGUCAAGCCACCAGCCAGACAGAUAACAAGAAAUACAGCUGAUAGUAUUUGGAAUGUUCGUUCAAAUCUAACUUCUUUUAGUAGCAAAACGAGAAGGC